UUUAACUAUCAUAGCGUCACCAUCAGGUCCAGGCU
rnacentral:sRNA from 1 species